UGUAAUUUUAAACUUCUGUAAAUAUAGAAUAACUAAUUUUAAUCAUUUCUCUUGUAAAAUUUAGCACGCAAUUCAGCCUUAUUGGCUGCUAUGUGUUAAUCUUAUUAAACAAACAAUCUAUCUAUCUAUCUAUCUAUGAAAUAGCCCUUACACUAAUCCCUGAAAAUCAAACCAGCUGAUCUUCUGGUCAAAUCGAUCCCUGCAACCAUGCUGUUUUGCAACAUUUUUUUCCCACCAAAUACUGG